GACGAACGCUGGCGGCGUGCUUAACACAUGCAAGUCGAACGGAAAGGCCCUGCUUUUGUGGGGUGCUCGAGUGGCGAACGGGUGAGUAACACGUGAGUAACCUGCCCUUGACUUUGGGAUAACUUCAGGAAACUGGGGCUAAUACCGGAUAGGAGCUCCUGCUGCAUGGUGGGGGUUGGAAAGUUUCGGCGGUUGGGGAUGGACUCGCGGCUUAUCAGCUUGUUGGUGGGGUAGUGGCUUACCAAGGCUUUGACGGGUAGCCGGCCUGAGAGGGUGACCGGCCACAUUGGGACUGAGAUACGGCCCAGACUCCUACGGGAGGCAGCAGUGGGGAAUAUUGCACAAUGGGCGGAAGCCUGAGGCAGCAACGCCGCGUGCGGGAUGACGGCCUUCGGGUUGGAAACCGCUUUCGCCUGUGACGAAGCGUGAGUGACGGUAAUGGGUAAAGAAGCACCGGCUAACUACGU
rnacentral:rRNA from 1 species